rnacentral:rRNA from 1 species
GAUGAACGCUGGCGGCGUGCCUAAUACAUGCAGGUCGAGCGAACAGACGAGGAGCUUGCUCCUCUGACGUUAGCGGCGGACGGGUGAGUAACACGUGGAUAACCUACCUAUAGGACUGGGAUAACUUCGGGAAACCGGAGCUAAUACCGGAUAAUAUAUUGAACCGCAUGGUUCAAUAGUGAAAGACGGUUUUGCUGUCACUUAUAGAUGGAUCCGCGCCGCAUUAGCUAGUUGGUAAGGUAACGGCUUACCAAGGCAACGAUGCGUAGCCGACCUGAGAGGGUGAUCGGCCACACUGGAACUGAGACACGGUCCAGACUCCUACGGGAGGCAGCAGUAGGGAAUCUUCCGCAAUGGGCGAAAGCCUGACGGAGCAACGCCGCGUGAGUGAUGAAGGUCUUCGGAUCGUAAAACUCUGUUAUUAGGGAAGAACAAAUGUGUAAGUAACUAUGCACGUCUUGACGGUACCUAAUCAGAAAGCCACGGCUAACUACGUG